UUUCAUGUUUUUGGAAAUGAAGCAACUUCGUUGUAAUUUCUCAUCACCUCUUUACUUCCUAUAACUGUUUCUCUUGCAUUAAAUCACAGGUGUCACCAAAUACAUCACCGGCAUAAAGACAGUGAAUGUAUGCCAGCUUAGCAGCACAGCAACUAGCACGAGCUGCUGUUGACAAGACCUUUAAAUUCUACACACAGAGCCCCCCUCCCUCACCUAUUAAUCUGCUUCUAACAUCUUGGUGUCGGAUGCUGAAGCAUAGCAACUUUCAGAGGAGGAAGUGUAGUCAAGAGUAAACCUCCUUCCAAGGCAGCGUUGACUCUUUUCCUACCGUGGAGCGCAGCAACACCACUUCGGCGUCACGGGCUGUGGUAUGGGUGCAGGUGGACUUGACGCACCAUUCCGGCAUCCAAUAGAGCAGCAGGAGAAGGAAGCCCCCAGUACAAAGUACCCCGAAGCCUACAAGGGCCAGCCGCCAACGGCAGAACUGGUAGCCUUGUAGUUCCUUUAAAAAAAAAAAAAAAAAAAAGGAUUGCAACAUGGAGAGUAAAAUCUCCUAUGGACAGCGCUAUCAAAUCAAAGAGACUUACCAUCUCCUCUUCUUCCCCCUUGUUGAGUAUCUUCAGCUCCCCCUUCUCCAUGUUGCUGAACAGAUUGCCAAGCCCCUUCCUUAGUCACUGUAAACAUUAACAGAGAAGAUCUCAAUCAGAAUGGACACAUUUCAGCUUCUUUUCUGCUAGAGCACCGCACGAUGGAUGAAAGGAUAAUUUGGUGCACCAGCGCCCAGUCCUUCAGAGCUACAAUCCAUCAACAUUCAAUCGGCUGAAUUUCCUCAUCAGAUUCUGGUAUUUUGUCGGAUAGGAGCUCUCAGGAGGAGAAUGGGUUCAGCAUGUGUUUGACAAUUAGUUGGGGAAUAAAAGUGAAGAUGUUAUUGUUUCCCCACAAAAAAAAAGAAGAAUAACCCCUUAACUGGGAAA